AAGUCCUAUACAGGGUUGCAGUUCUUAUGAGUAUACCCUAGAUGGCGCACCUCUCUAAUUUGACCGACAUUCACUACUUUCGCUUUCAAGAGCAAGCACAUGGCAAAAAUCACUUGUGAGGCACGGUGAGAAGGCAAACAUCUAUCCUGUGUGCGUUCAUGCCAAGAAAGUAAGUUUAUUUACUGAUUCCCACCAAAAAUAUGGGUAAUACUUAUGUUAAUACUGUUGUAACAAUAUCUGUAAUGUUGUAUUUCACCUUUAAUGCAUAUAUUUGCAUAAUCUUAUGUUAUAUGUUAAUCUGUGUUGGGAAGCUAAUAUGCUAGUCCAAACUAUUUAUGCCAUAGUAUGUUUCCUUGUUGGAUUAAUGUUUAUAUUUUGACACAUGGUGUAAUGUUGAGUCAUUUCUAAACACUACAGUUUGACAGUGAAUUUAUUCCUAUACCUAAAGAUUAUUUUCUGUUGUAAUCUAAAUGGAAAUGUUUGACUGUUAUUUGUUAAUUGCUAAACCUGUAAUAUUUUAUUGAUACUUAAUUUGUUCUAUUUUAUGUUCCAGACCACACACACACACACGUACUCACACCAGAUGUGUUUUCCUCACAUCCCCUCUGUACCUAUAACAACAACGGUAAUCUGUACCAUUAUACCGACUCAUUAAAGCUAUUUUUGGAUGAAACUCUCCGAGCCCUUUACUCUCUUACCAGAGUCUCCAGUUUUCAAGGACUAUCAGAACAUUCCAGAGGUUCCACCUCAACAAAUGGUCCUUCGAGCCGGAUGAUAGUAACCUUGAAGACAACAUGCAAUCCGAGCAGGAGGUCACACCAACCAUUGUGCAACCUCGUACUCAGCGGGAGAGACAUCCACCAGCCUACUUGGGUGAUUAUGAUGUUGGAUAUCAACCAAGCCAGAUUCCAGCUUCCAGUGCAGGGGACCGUAAUACAAUGCCAGCAGCUGCCAUUGCAUCUGCACAUCCAGAUGAAGCGCAUGUGCCUUGCCGAUCAUUAUCAGCACAUUCAUCUGCAAAGUCACGUCAAAGCCGAUCCAGGACAAAGACCACCAGAAGCAGUGUAUCCAGCCGUUCGACAGCUUCGCAACUGACAGAGCUACAGGCAGCUAUUGUAGAGGAAAAGCUGAAAAGUAUGGAGCUAGCAGAGAUGCAGAGGCAGAUGGUGGAGGAGAGCAAAGCUGAGGAGCAGUGUGAGUUCCUGGAUCAACAAGCACGCUUAGCAUUAUAUGAGAGAGAAGAAUUACUCAGAGAGCAGCAGAGGAGAAGUCAUCAGUUAGAUGAAGAGGCUCGUGCAGCACACAAGACCAAAGAACUGAUCACCAAACAGCUUGAAAGACAGCGUCGUAUUAAGCAGAAAGAGAUGGAGCUGGAGAAAGCGCGUCUUGUUGCUUCACUUCUCCGAGAAUCAGAGUCUGAGAAUGCAACUGCUAUUUCACAAACUGAAGGUGAACUUGACCCAGAGCAGGUACAGACUGAUACACUCCGUUUACCAAAGGUAGAGGUUGCUCACCAUACACUACGACAGUUCCCUGAUAGUACACAGCACUCUACACCACACACAUAUCAGAGUAAACCUGUUACUGCUCAGCCAUUAGUUCCACAUUCAGUACAUGAGCACAUUACCUCUCAUGCUACAUCCAAAUCAUUAUAUGUAGAACCAAUGAAUGUUGUUCCUUCUCCUAUCUGUUCUGUUGCAGCACCAGGUGUGUUUCCCUCACAGGUAAAAUUACAUGUUGCAGAUGUUUGCCCUCCUUUAACCGUACAACCAUCUUUGUCCUAUGAGAGACAAACAUAUAGUCAGUUAGGCUCUAACCUUCUAUGCCCAGGUGCAUCAUAUGUAUCUCCGGAUUCAACAGCGACCAGCUAUGCUCAGCCACCUCACCAGUCAAUUUCAGUACCGUCUCAGCCCACAAUUAAUCAGUCACAAAAUCCUGUUAGGCAACAGCAGUUAAGCUCACAGCCAUUACCCAGGCUAAAUGUUCCCAGUGUACAGCCACCAGCCCCAGCCAAUGUUAUGGAUAUGCUAAUUGCUAAUUCAUAUGGUAUACCUAAACCAGCUCUGCCUACAUUUGAGAGUGGUAGGGAGUCAGACUUUGCCCUACUAAAAAUGGCAUUAGAUAGUCUCAUAGGCUGCCACGCUCAUCUCACAGAGCAGUUUAAGUACCAGGUACUUCUAGACAGAAUAAGACUACCCAGUGCAUACAAAUUAGCACAAGCCUAUAUGCAUGAUCCUACACCGUACACUACUGCAUUGCAAGCCCUCCAAGACAAAUAUGGGCAACCUCGUCAACUUGUACAGAGUGAACUUGGGUCCAUUUUGAACUCUCCACCAGUUAGAGUAGGGGAUGCCGAAGCCUUUGAUAAUUUCGCUCUUGCAGUACAUGCACUUGUAGGUAUGCUUCGUUCUUUAGAAGGGGAGAAUGGGUACGAACUGAAGUGUGGCUCACAUGUGGACAGACUUUUAGUCAAAUUGCCGGCUACCUACCGAGAUGGAUUUGUUGAACAUUGUCUCAGUCGUGGUAUACUCGUCACAGGGACAGAUAAAACAUACACUCUUCACGACUUAGCAGCAUGGCUUCAGCUAAAAUCACAGGCGAAGCGCAUCUCAAGUAGAGCUGUUGACAUGUUUCAAGAACAGAUAAAGCCUCAAAGGAAAGGGAAGAGUAGCCAUACAUCAUCAUCUUCUGUGUACUACAACAUUAGUAGCAGUCAUGAUAAAAUGCCCCUUACCACUCUGCCAUGUCGUACCUUUCCACAAAAGCCCAGGGACAAACCAAAAGCUUACUGUCCAUACUGUAAUACCCGUGAGCAUUAUCUCAGUAUGUGUUCCAAAUUUAAGUCACUGACGACUACCCAGAUCACAGAAUGGAUCAGAGACAAAGGUUGUUUCCGCUGUGGACGCAAUCACAAACCUGAGGCUUGCACCCUCAAAAAGCCCUGUAAUAUAUGUCAAAACCAGCAUCUUACUGUACUACAUGAUGUAAACAUGCAGGAGCCCAACAAGGUCCUUAUGGUCAGUACCUCAGCAGACACCAUUUAUCUUGACCGUCCCAAUCGUCCUCAACAGGUCAUGUUAAAGGUGGUCAAAGUACUCCUACAUAAUGCCAGACACUCACUAGAGGCUUAUGCUUUGCUAGAUGAUGGUUCCGAGCGGACAAUUCUCCUCUCCUCUGCUACACAAUACCUCCAGCUGCAUAAAAACCCUGAAACGCUCUCAUUGAGAACUGUCCGACAUGAGGUUGUUCACCUGAAGGGGUCAUCUGUUUCAUUUGAAAUUUCACCCGCUGACAAUCCUAGACAAAAAUACAAGAUCCAUCAUGCCUUUACGGCUGAUGAAUUGGGUUUCUCAGAGCAUACUUACCCAGUGAAAGUACUGAUGAAAAAGUACAAGCAUUUGCGAGGGUUACCAAUACCAGAAAUUGAUCAUGUGCGGCCUGUACUACUAAUCGGUUCCGACUUUCCACAUUUGCUCAUUCCCACUCAGCCUGUGCAUAUUGGCCCAGCUGGUGGACCUGUAGCAAUCUGCACCCCGCUUGGUUGGACACUCCAAGGUCCUGCCAGCCUGAUGCAUGUUCCUAGUGAUGAGCAGCGGUGUCUCUUCACUGCAGUGGGACCUACCCACUUAGAUCUACAGAGACAUGUGGAGAAAUUGUGGCAGAUCGACACUUUACCUUAUAUCAGUGAGAAAGCAGCCACUCGAUCCAAGCUCGAUCAACAAGCACUUGAAUUGCUCGAGCAGCAAACUGUAAGGGUGAAUGUAAAUGGCACAAUGAGAUAUGCUACACCACUUCUCAGGCGGAAAGACAGUCCUUGUCUAAAAGCACCCAAAUCGGUUUGUCUUUCACUACUUCGAAGUACAGAACGGAGAAUCAUUAAUGACCCCAAUCAAACCCUGACAUAUUGCGAGGAGAUUCAGAAACUUGAAAAUGCAGGUUAUGUAAAGAGGCUGACAAAUGAAGAAGUUGAAUCCUCUGCUGAAUCAUGGUAUCUACCACAUCACUUAGUCCACCACAAUAACAAAGCCAGGCUUGUUUUCAAUUGUUCAUACCAGUACAGAGGACUUGCGCUUAACGAACAUCUUCUUCCUGGGCCAAUCCUGGGUCCUUCACUUCUUGGAGUCCUACUUCGGUUUCGUGAGCACACAGUGGCAAUCAGUGGGGACAUUAAAGCAAUGUUCCAUCAGAUCAGACUUUUGCCAGAAGAUCGCUCACUGUUACGUUUCCUUUGGAGGGACAUGAAGAAGAACGAAGAGCCAAAUGUCUUUGAAUGGCAAGUCCUCCCAUUUGGAACAACCUGCAGUCCCUGCUGUGCCACAUAUGCGCUACAACGACAUGUGAAAGACAACUGUGUAGGGUAUGAGGAUGUUCAAAUGUCUGUCGAACAAGCAUUCUAUGUAGAUAACUGUUUGCAGAGUCUUAACUGCCCAGAGAAAGCUCGCAGCCUAAUUGACCGAAUGCGUAGCCAUCUGUCGUCAGGGGGGUUUGAAAUCCGCCAGUGGGCCAGCAACAUACCCCAAGUAAUAGAACACCUCCCAAUAGAAGCCAGAGCAGCUAGCACUGAACUGUGGGUUUCUGAGCAUAGUUCAGAUCCACAAGAGCCAGCUUUGGGUCUCCGCUGGAACUGUCUCACUGACCAUCUUGGAUACCAACACCGUCAAGUUCAUUAUUCUGAACCCACACUCCGAAAUGUUUACAAGGUACUGGCUACGCAGUAUGACCCACUUGGAUAUCUAAUACCUUUCACUACGAAAGCAAAGAUAUUAAUUCAGGAUCUUUGGAACCUAAAAGUUGGUUGGGAUGAUGUUAUCCACCCAGAAAGCCUGCGAAUACAGUGGCGCCAAUGGGAGGCUGAACUGGCUAAUUUGCACACCGUUGAAAUACCCCGAGCAUACAUACCACCAUGUGCAGACACAGAAGGCAUGCAGAGAACCAUACAUAUCUUCUGCGAUGCCUCUGAACGCGCGUACGGGUCAGUCGCUUACCUCUGUACUUUAGAUCAGCAUAACCAGACACAUGUUGCUUUUGUGAUGGCAAGAUCCAGGGUGGCUCCACGCAAACAGAUAUCAAUGCCACGCUUGGAGCUUUGUGGAGCUCUCACAGGAGCGCAGCUAGCAAAGUUACUCAGUAAAGAGUUGUCUAUUCCUGCCAGAGAUGUUGUCCUGUGGACUGAUUCGACAACGGUCCUGAGUUGGUUAAAAUCCGACUCCUGCCGCUAUAAAGUCUUUGUCGGAACCCGCAUAGCGGAAAUUCAGGAUUUGGCAUUGGAGUCUUGUUGGCGAUAUGUUAACACUGCAGACAACCCAGCGGAUGAUUUGACCAGGGGGAAGACUUUGGUAGAGUUAACCAAAUCCCAGCGCUGGAGUCAAGGACCACAGUUCAUUCACCAGCAUCCAGACACCUGGCCAUCCCUGCCUGAAUUAGCUGCUCCUGAUGAUCAUGAUGAGCUAAGAAAACAAACAUUCUGUGGCAAUACAAUCAUCACUACGCCUCAACCUGCCAUCUCCAAUUGUAAAAAUUGGAGUGAACUGUUGAAGUUUACUUACCAGUCCCUUCACGGGGCGGCUGAUUCCAUGACUGCAGCAGAUGCCAUUGAGGUUGAGUUACAUAUACUAAGGCAAGCUCAGAGUGACAGCUUCCCAGAAGAGGUGGGUGCACUGACAAAAGGUAAACCCAUAUCCACGCAGAGCCGUCUGGCUGCACUAGCCCCCGUGUAUGAUCAAACAGUUGGUCUUAUCCGAGUAGGCGGACGGCUUCGCAGAGCUGAGUGCCUAGUUCCAGACACCAUACAUCCCAUAAUACUGGACCCUAAACAUCCAAUUACCAUGCUCCUAAUCAAGAAAUAUGACAACCAGCUUCUCCAUCCAGGUCCAGAACGGGUCUUAGGUGAGAUCAGACGCAAAUACUGGAUCCUUCGUGGCAGGGAAUCCAUUAAGAGACACCAGUACAACUGUGAAACAUGCCAAAAAUGGAGAGCAAAGCCUGUAAUACCAAAGAUGGCAGACUUGCCUCCAUCACGUUUAAGACUAUAUAAACCCCCUUUCUGGUCAACAGGCGUUGAUUGUUUUGGCCCAUUCACCAUUAAAAUAGGACGACGCACUGAGAAACGCUGGGGCAUCAUAUUCAAAUGCAUGACGACAAGUUGUAUACAUCUUGAUCUCUUAGAGAGCAUGGACACAGAUGCCUUUCUGAUGGCUUUACGAAGAUUUGUAUCACGUCGGGGAAAGCCAUUUGAGAUACUGGCGGAUAGGGGGACAAAUUUCAGGGGAGGAGCCACUGAAUUGCAAGAAGCUUUUACAGCGUUAGAAGCUUCACUUAAAGAACAGUUAGCUGGUCAGGAAAUUACAUUUCAGUUUAAUCCGCCACAUGCCCCGCAUUUUGGUGGUACCUGGGAGCGAGAGAUACGGUCUGUCAAAACAGCUCUUCAGGUAGUCCUAGGCAAUCGAACUGUGACUGAGUCCGUUUUACGUACAGUGCUGGUAGAGGUUGAGGGAAUCAUCAACUCCAAGCCACUCGGGUAUGUUUCCUCGGAUGUAGCUGAUCCAGACCCAGUCACACCCAAUCUAUUGCUGAUGGGCCGUCGCGAUGCAUCACUCCCACAAGCGAUCUACUCCUCUAGUGAUCUGUUAGGUAGAAGGAGGUGGCGACAUAGUCAAAUUUUGGCUGAUCAUUUUUGGGUAAACUUUGUACGGCAUUACUUACCAGGCCUACAGACACGCCAAAAAUGGCAAAGGGACACCGGCAAUUUAACUAUUGGACAGAUCGUCAUGAUAGUUGAUCCACAGUUGCCACGAGCUUCAUGGCCUAUUGGUAAAGUGAUUAAGACAUAUGCAGGUGUAGAUCAUUGCGUACGUACUGCAGAAGUGCAAGUAAAAGAGCGAACUUAUCUUCGGCCUGUCGCCCGGUUAGUUAAGUUACCAUCAUGGGAAGAUGAGGAAGGAAACAAUUAGCCUUGAGACUUUCCCUAGACUAAUUACAAAUUUAUCUAGUAAAUUUGGGGGCGGCUUUGUAGGAAAGUCCUAUACAGGGUUGCAGUUCUUAUGAGUAUACCCUAGAUGGCGCACCUCUCUAAUUUGACCGACAUUCACUACUUUCGCUUUCAAGAGCAAGCACAUGGCAAAAAUCACUUGUGAGGCACGGUGAGAAGGCAAACAUCUAUCCUGUGUGCGUUCAUGCCAAGAAAACCACACACACACACACGUACUCACACCAGAUGUGUUUUCCUCACAUCCCCUCUGUACCUAUAACAACAACGGUAAUCUGUACCAUUAUACCGACUCAUUAAAGCUAUUUUUGGAUGAAA